rnacentral:rRNA from 1 species
GUGGGGAAUUUUGGACAAUGGGCGCAAGCCUGAUCCAGCAAUGCCGCGUGCAGGAUGAAGGCCUUCGGGUUGUAAACUGCUUUUGUACGGAACGAAAAGCCCUGGGUUAAUACCCUGGGGUCAUGACGGUACCGUAAGAAUAAGCACCGGCUAACUACGUGCCAGCAGCCGCGGUAAUACGUAGGGUGCAAGCGUUAAUCGGAAUUACUGGGCGUAAAGCGUGCGCAGGCGGUUUUGUAAGACAGGCGUGAAAUCCCCGGGCUCAACCUGGGAAUUGCGCUUGUGACUGCAAGGCUGGAGUGCGGCAGAGGGGGAUGGAAUUCCGCGUGUAGCAGUGAAAUGCGUAGAUAUGCGGAGGAACACCGAUGGCGAAGGCAAUCCCCUGGGCCUGCACUGACGCUCAUGCACGAAAGCGUGGGGAGCAAACAGGAUUAGAAACCCGUGUAGUCC